rnacentral:rRNA from 1 species
UACGUAGGUGGCAAGCGUUGUCCGGAAUUAUUGGGCGUAAAGCGCGCGCAGGCGGUCCUUUAAGUCUGAUGUGAAAGCCCACGGCUCAACCGUGGAGGGUCAUUGGAAACUGGGGGACUUGAGUACAGAAGAGAAGAGUGGAAUUCCUGGUGUAGCGGUGAAAUGCGCAGAUAUCAGGAGGAACACCAACGGCGAAGGCAGCACUCUGGGCCGGUACUGACGCUGAGGAGCGAAAGCGUGGGGAGCAAACAGG